rnacentral:rRNA from 1 species
GAUGAACGCUAGCGGCAGGCUUAAUACAUGCAAGUCGUGGGGCAGCAGGUUUGUAGCAAUACAGAUGCUGGCGACCGGCAAACGGGUGCGGAACACGUACAGAACCUUCCUUUGAGCGGGGAAUAGCCCAGAGAAAUUUGGAUUAAUACCCCAUAGUAUAAUGAAGUGGCAUCACUUUAUUAUUAAAGAUUUAUCACUCGAAGAUGGCUGUGCGGCUGAUUAGGUAGUUGGCGGGGUAAAGGCCCACCAAGCCUGCGAUCAGUAACUGGUGUGAGAGCACGACCAGUCACACGGGCACUGAGACACGGGCCCGACUCCUACGGGAGGCAGCAGUAAGGAAUAUUGGUCAAUGGAGGCAACUCUGAACCAGCCAUGCCGCGUGGAGGAUGAAGGUCCUCUGGAUUGUAAACUUCUUUAUAUGGGACGAAAAAAGGCUUUCUAAGUCGUCUGACGGUACCAUAUGAAUAAGCACCGGCUAACUCCGUGCCAGCAGCC